UCCAGUCAGCAAGCCGGAGGAAUCAGAGCCCGUCACUUCAAUCAAGCUUACAAGCACAAGCUGUGCACAAUGAAUUUAUAAUGCCAAGAUCAGAGGAGCAAAAUCACACCAGAAGAGCAAGGGAGAGUGAAACGGGGAGAGAGAUGGAGAGUGUGUGGGAGAGCAUGUCGGCCUUGGGGUUACCUGGAUACACCUGGGGGAGAUGAUAAAGGUCUUAAUGGAGCCAGGUCUCAGUUAAGGACAAAUGCAUUCAUUGUGUAUUUCUACAUCUUCAAAUCAAGCUAUGCUGUUUCCAUGGUGUGGACCGCACCCUGCAGCACUUUCUGUGACAUUUCAAAUAGGUGUUUCGAGACUGACUGAGGGGAAAAUAUUUGAUCGCUUAUCUGUGCAUGCUUCUCAUCACUUAAUCUUAGAAUUUGCAUAUGUAUGUGUGUGAAUAUCUGUAUGUGCCUGUGUGUGUGUGUGUGUGUGUGUGUUUGCAUAGUGAGCAUUUAGCAUCAGUUAGCAGACAAUAGCCUCACAAACACACUCACACAUACACCCCCUAUAGCACUGUUUGAUCAAAUUUAACCCAGGCCCAUUUGACCUCCACCUUCCCUAUGACCUCGAGCAAACUCCUUGGGGAGAUGAAGGCUAAGGUGUGUGUUUGUAUGCCUUGAUGUCUGACUAAGAAGUAAACGCUGAUGGUCAAACACAUCCCUUUUUUCUUUCACUCUCUGUCUACUCACUUCCAAAUCCACCCCAAUCCAUUCCUCUCCUCCACCCACCUUAAAAAAAGGAAAAUAAUUAUUUUAUGGCUCAAGAGAUAAAAUGGGAAUUUACGUACUUAUGGAUCUGUUGGAUAUCUGGAAAAUUACACUGAUAUAAAUAAUUACACUCAGUUUGAUGAGUCCCUGCACCUUUAAUUUUUUUCAAGUCUGCUCACAGAUGAUGAAAUGAAGGCAGCGAGUGACAUAAAUCUCCUAAACAUAAAACUCCAGUACAAAUCAGAACAUGGAUUUUAUUUGAUCUAUGUCAACAGUGGAUAGUCUGCAAAAACCUGGUUUAUUUUUUCAGUUUUGUUUUUUACAAACCACCUAAUCUCUGUUUAUGAACACUGCCAUUAUUCAAUGUGAACAGUGCUUGUUGAUCUGUAAACCCUUUUACU